GAGUUUGAUCAUGGCUCAGGACGAACGCUGGCGGCGUGCCUAAUACAUGCAAGUCGAGCGGAGUUCCUUCGGGAACUUAGCGGCGAACGGGUGAGUAACACGUGGGCAACCUGCCCUCAAGCCUGGGAUAACUCCGGGAAACCGGUGCUAAUACCAGAUAAUCAAAGCUUUCGCAUGGAAGCUUUGUAAAAGUUUUUCGCUUGAGGAUGGGCCCGCGGUGCAUUAGCUUGUUGGCGGGGUAAUGGCCUACCAAGGCGACGAUGCAUAGCCGACCUGAGAGGGUGACCGGCCACACUGGGACUGAGACACGGCCCAGACUCCUACGGGAGGCAGCAGUAGGGAAUUUUCCGCAAUGGGCGAAAGCCUGACGGAGCAACGCCGCGUGAGUGAUGACGGCCUUCGGGUUGUAAAGCUCUGUUCUUAGGGAAGAAGUUCUGACGGUACCUAAGGAGAAAGCCCCGGCUAACUACGUGCCAGCAGCCGCGGUAAUACGUAGGGGGCAAGCGUUGUCCGGAAUUAUUGGGCGUAAAGCGCGCGCAGGCGGCGCUUU
rnacentral:rRNA from 1 species